GAUGAACGCUGGCGGCGUGCCUAAUACAUGCAAGUCGAGCGAACGGACGAGAAGCUUGCUUUUCUGAUGUUAGCGGCGGACGGGUGAGUAACACGUGGAUAACCUACCUAUAAGACUGGGAUAACUUCGGGAAACCGGAGCUAAUACCGGAUAAUAUUUUGAACCGCAUGGUUCAAAAGUGAAAGACGGUUUUGCUGUCACUUAUAGAUGGAUCCGCGCUGCAUUAGCUAGUUGGUAAGGUAACGGCUUACCAAGGCAACGAUGCGUAGCCGACCUGAGAGGGUGAUCGGCCACACUGGAACUGAGACACGGUCCAGACUCCUACGGGAGGCAGCAGUAGGGAAUCUUCCGCAAUGGGCGAAAGCCUGACGGAGCAACGCCGCGUGAGUGAUGAAGGUCUUCGGAUCGUAAAACUCUGUUAUUAGGGAAGAACAUAUGUGUAAGUAACUGUGCACAUCUUGACGGUACCUAAUCAGAAAGCCACGGCUAACUACGUG
rnacentral:rRNA from 1 species